rnacentral:rRNA from 2 species
AAAUUGAAGAGUUUGAUCAUGGCUCAGAUUGAACGCUGGCGGCAGGCCUAACACAUGCAAGUCGAACGGUAACAGGAAGAAGCUUGCUUCUUUGCUGACGAGUGGCGGACGGGUGAGUAAUGUCUGGGAAACUGCCUGAUGGAGGGGGAUAACUACUGGAAACGGUAGCUAAUACCGCAUAACGUCGCAAGACCAAAGAGGGGGACCUUCGGGCCUCUUGCCAUCGGAUGUGCCCAGAUGGGAUUAGCUAGUAGGUGGGGUAACGGCUCACCUAGGCGACGAUCC